UCCCGCCGCCGUACCGCGAGAUCUCCAGCCGCUCGCGCUCCUGACGCCCCUUCCCCGGCGCCAGGUGAGCGACGCGGAUGGGGAUCUGACGGUACGGCGGCGGUGACGA
rfam:Actinobacteria bacterium 13_1_20CM_3_71_11 13_1_20cm_3_scaffold_1256, whole genome shotgun sequence.